CUACGGGAGGGCAGCAGUGGGGGAAUUUUUGCACAAUGGGGCGAAAAGCCUGAUGCAGCGACCCCCGCGUGCGGGGAAGAAGGCCUUUCGGGUUGUAAACCGCUUUCAACAGGGAAGAAGGAAUGAGAGCUAAUACCUCUCUGCCUUUGACGGUACCUGUAGAAGAAGCACCGGCUAAUUUUCGUGCCAGCAGCCGCGGUAAUACGAAAGGUGCAAGCGUUGUUCGGAUUUACUGGGCGUAAAGAGAUCGUACGUGGCUUGUUAAGUCGGAUGUGAAAUCCCGGGGCUCAACCCCGGAACUGCAUCCGAUACUGGCAGGCUUGAGUUUGGGGAGGGGUAAGCGGAAUUCCGUGGUGUAGCAGUGAAAUGCGUAGAUAUACGAGGAACACCUGAGGCGAAGCGGCUUACUGGACCAAUACUGACACUGAGGAUCGAAAGCGUGGUAGCAAACAGAUAGAUACCCUGGUAGUCCACGCCCUAACGAUGUCACUAGCCGUGCGGGUAUCGACCCCUGCAGUG
rnacentral:rRNA from 1 species